GCGUUGAGCUUUUGUUGUCUUCUAGCUGCACGUGAACAUUUACCUUUAAUUAAAGGAAGAAAUAUAUUUGAAGACUCUAUUUCUAGGAAAUGAUCGCUUUCUAGUUCAUUGAGUUGUUCAAGUUGCUGCUCAACUGAAGUUUUGUUCGGUAAAUUAUCUUCAUUAAGAAAAACGUGAUCAUCCUCCUCAAUAUCCGCCCACCUAAUCUCUCUUUUCAUCAUGGAAGUCCGUCCAAUCCCAAUAAUGUUCGAGCUCAUCUCCCACAAUUCUCUCCCUCCUCCUCAGUAUGUAGCCUAUAAUA
rnacentral:antisense_RNA from 1 species